GCUUUACUCGGUAAAUUGUGCUUAUGUGACUUCCUGUUACCUUUCUAUCAUCUCCAACCAGUCUGCCCGUUCUCCUCUGA